rnacentral:rRNA from 1 species
GGAGGAAAAGAAACUAACAAGGAUUCCCCUAGUAACGGCGAGUGAAGCGGGAAGAGCUCAAAUUUGAAAUCUGGUGGCCUCAGGUCAUCCGAGUUGUAAUCUAUAGAAGUGUUUUCCGUGCUGGCUCAUGUACAAGUCCCUUGGAACAGGGCGUCAUAGAGGGUGAGAAUCCCGUCCUUGACAUGAACUACCAGUGCUCUGUGAUACAUUUUCAACGAGUCGAGUUGUUUGGGAAUGCAGCUCAAAAUGGGUGGUAAAUUCCAUCUAAAGCUAAAUAUUGGCGAGAGACCGAUAGCGAACAAGUACCGUGAGGGAAAGAUGAAAAGCACUUUGGAAAGAGAGUUAAACAGUAUGUGAAAUUGUUGAAAGGGAAACGAUUGAAGUCAGUCGUGCUCUUUGGAUUCAGCCGGUUCUGCCGGUGUACUUCCUUUGAGUGGGGUCAACAUCAGUUUUGAUCGCUGGAUAAAGGCAGGAGGAACGUAGUACCCUCGGGUAAACUUAUAGCCUCUUGUCACAUACAGUGGUUGGGACUGAGGAACGCAGCACGCCUUUAUGGCCGGGAUUCGUCCACGUACGUGCUUAGGAUGUUGACAUAAUGGCUUUAAACGACCCGUCU